rnacentral:rRNA from 1 species
CUACGGGCUGCAGCAGUGAGGAAUAUUGCACAAUGGGGGGAACCCUGAUGCAGCAACGCCGCGUGGAGGAUGACGCAUUUCGGUGUGUAAACUCCUUUUAUAUGUCAAGAAAAUGACGGUAGCAUAUGAAUAAGCACCGGCUAACUCCGUGCCAGCAGCCGCGGUAAUACGGAGGGUGCAAGCGUUACUCGGAAUCACUGGGCGUAAAGGACGCGUAGGCGGGUUGGAAAGUCAGGUGUGAAAUCCUACAGCUUAACUGUAGAACGGCACUUGAAACUUCUAAUCUAGAGUAUGGGAGGGGGAGAUGGAAUUAGUGGUGUAGGGGUAAAAUCCGUAGAUAUCACUAGGAAUACCUAAAGCGAAGGCGAUCUCCUGGAACAUUACUGACGCUAAGGCGUGAAAGCGUGGGGAGCAAACAGGAUUAGAUACCCGAGUAGUC